rnacentral:rRNA from 1 species
GGAUAACCUACCCUUAGGACCGGGAUAACCCUGGGAAACUGGGGAUAAUACUGGAUAGGCAAUUUUUCCUGUAAUGGUUUUUUGUUUAAAUGUUUUUUCGCCUAAGGAUGGGUCUGCGGCCGAUUAGGUAGUUGGUUAGGUAAUGGCUUACCAAGCCGUUGAUCGGUACGGGUUGUGAGAGCAAGAGCCCGGAGAUGGAACCUGAGACAAGGUUCCAGGCCCUACGGGGUGCAGCAGGCGCGAAACCUCCGCAAUGUGAGAAAUCGCGACGGGGGGAUCCCAAGUGCCAUUCUUAACGGGAUGGCUUUUCAUUAGUGUAAAGAGCUUUUGGAAUAAGAGCUGGGCAAGACCGGUGCCAGCCGCCGCGGUAACACCGGCAGCUCUAGUGGUAGCAAUUUUUAUUGGGCCUAAAGCGUCCGUAGCCGGUUUAAUAAGUCUCUGGUGAAAUCCUGCAGCUUAACUGUGGGAAUUGCUGGAGAUACUAUUAGACUUGAGACCGGGAGAGGUUAGAGGUACUCCCAGGGUAGAGGUGAAAUUCUGUAAUCCUGGGAGGACCGCCUGUUGCGAAGGCGUCUAACUGGAACGGUUCUGACGGUGAGGGACGAAAGUUAGGGGCGCGAACCGGAUUAGAUACCCGGGUAGUCCUAACUGUAAACGAUGCGGACUUGGUGUUGGGGUGGCUUUGAGCUGCUUCAGUGC